GACGAACGCUGGCGGCGUGCCUAAUACAUGCAAGUUGAGCGAUGAAGAUUGGUGCUUGCACCAAUUUGAAGAGCAGCGAACGGGUGAGUAACGCGUGGGGAAUCUGCCUUUGAGCGGGGGACAACAUUUGGAAACGAAUGCUAAUACCGCAUAACAACUUUAAACAUAAGUUUUAAGUUUGAAAGAUGCAAUUGCAUCACUCAAAGAUGAUCCCGCGUUGUAUUAGCUAGUUGGUGAGGUAAAGGCUCACCAAGGCGAUGAUACAUAGCCGACCUGAGAGGGUGAUCGGCCACAUUGGGACUGAGACACGGCCCAAACUCAUACGGGAGGCAGCAGUAGGGAAUCUUCGGAAAUGGACGAAAGUCUGACCGAGAAACGCCGCGUGAGGGAAGAAGGGUGUCGGAUCGUAAAACUCUGUUGGUAGAGAAGAACGUUGGUGAGAGUGGAAAGCUCAUCAAGUGACGGUAACUACCCAGAAAGGGACGGCUAACUACGUG
rnacentral:rRNA from 1 species